CCAGAAUCAGAAUCAGAUUGGCUUAAACAUUUGUAGACGUACCUUAAGGGGCCACUAUAUUCCCUGUCAGCAUCCUGUUUUUGCUGGUGCAGCCUCACUUUCACCUGCAAAGUUUAACUGAACCUGGCAGUUAUCUUGUUGAGAGUCAUCUUGUAGACAGUAAUGGGAGAUGGCAGCUGUUUUGAAGAAGGACAGAACUUCACAAGAUUGAAGGUUUGGAAUCUCGGGACAGACUGUGGUUUUGACAAUUCUGAAUAGCAAUCUGUCACUUAGCACGCAAAUAGAGUAUAUGGUCUUCUGGCUCCCCGUGCUCAUUUCCAACUGUUGGGAUGACAUCUGUGCCCUCUGAAAAGGGCAUCUGCUGCUUCAACAUCUAGAUGCCACAUGGUGAGAAGGUUUGAGAGAAAUCAUGCGUCAUGUACAGUUCAAGAGCCACAGACUUCUAGACACUUGCUUGUGUGGGCGUGCUUGAAGAUCUUGUGGUUGGGAACAGCACUCUGUUGGUCCAGUCCGGCCAAGGAAAUAAGAGGCAGGGGUGGAUUCUUGCCUCCGGUGUAAUGGACUAUCAUAUUCUGAAGACACACACUCGAUGGACUAGGAAUCAGGUUUAGAACCUACCUGUCUGUGCAGCAACCCAAAGCCAUUCUCACAGGAGCGGAGGAAGCAGCAGAAAUACCCCAGCUGCUCAGGUUUCUCUUCUCCCUCUUCCCCUUGCCCUCUCUGCAGCAGGGAAGUGGGGGAGUGAAGACCCCUGGAGCUGCCCCUCAGCCUGGAAGUGCGGGUGAAGAAGGAGGAUCAGAGGUGUGGCUGGGGGACUGAACUGACAGUGGCUGAGGAGGGCUGAAGUGAUGGUGGGCAGAACUGAUAUGGGAACAGGACUGAUUUAGAGGUUGUGGCAGAAUUAAUUUCUGGGCCAGGAUCAGGUAGAUGUGGGGAUGAGAGCUCCUGCAGUGGGGGCCACAAUCACCUUUCCCAGCAAUUGUGGGAGAAUGGGCAACACUAAUUGUCACACAAACACUGGGGAUGGGUGAGGGGAGUUCAACAUUCAAAAGACAGACCAAAAAUUCUAUUUUUAUAUAUCGCAUAGGCCACUGCAGCUGAGCCAAUAUAGUGGAGGAAGUAACUUCCUGCUCCUAUAGACCAGUAGCAGAUUAGUUCCUCUCUACAGCAAGCUGGGAGGAAGUCACAAUUCCUUCAUUUGCCUGCUCCUGGACAGCAGCUAUGCAACUGCCCCUUGUUAUGAGCUGGAUCUAGCCUUUAGUUAUUUAUUUAAAGCUCCCUAAAUAAAAACACCUUUUCCCAGUGGAAAUAUAAAAUCCUUUGUGUCUUUUUAAAGAGAUGAAUCUGGAAAAUUAUCCAGACCACUGGAGCUGCCACUUUAACUUAAAUACACCUCUUGAGUGUGAUUAAGUAAUUUAACAAUGAGGAUGAACUACUUACUACUCUCUCUUGAUAUGAGUAAACAGUGGGUUAUGUCUAAGGAGGGAUGGUUAGUUAACAAAAACUAAUGCUGAAUUACCUGCAUGAUAGCCUGUAGUCUGAACACCUGUUAACACUUGUGGUACUUCAAGGAAACUAAUUGAACAUUAGAAAAAAAUUGUAACUAUGGCUAGUCUGGUUAUGUAUUACCAUGUUAUUUCCUAGCAUAUGAUGAGUAUGUGCUACACUUGUAUGAGCAUAAAUAUGUCAAUUGUUUUGGCAAAGGUUGGUCUGGACCCAGAAUGUGAA